UUGCUGUCAAAAGUUAAGCUAUCCUUUCUUCGAAAAUUACCAAUGAAUUGAUAGAGGAAACGUGAAAGAGUCGUGGCCGUCGUGCAGCCUACCGUCAACUAUUUUGUUCAGAAUCAUUGUAUUCUACUAAAUGUUCCAUCGAAAUGAUAAGGAGUCAUAAUUGUAUUGGACUUGCUAGAUCCCCAAGCCCAGCACAGAAAAAUCUCUGAUUUCAUCUUCUCGAAAGAAGAUUUGAUAACUGAUGGGUGGUUUCAUUUGUUCUAAACUCCAGGUUUCUAAAUUUGCAUUGCAGACUUUAUGAGAAGUCAUGUUCUU